rnacentral:ncRNA from 2 species
GCUUAUUCUCAGGGCAGGGUGCAAUUCCCGACCGGCGGUAAAGUGAGUGAUGUCUCACUAAGCCCGCGAGCGCUUGCAAUCUAUGUUGUAGAGUUCACUAUGUUGCAGGGUCCAGCAGAUCCGGUGAGAAACCGGAGCCGACGGUAACAGUCCGGAUGAGAGAGAAUAAAU